AGUGAACGCUGGCGGCAGGCCUAACACAUGCAAGUCGAACGGCAGCACAGUAAGAGUUUGCCCUUACGGGUGGCGAGUGGCGGACGGGUGAGGAAUACAUCGGAAUCUACUUUUUCGUGGGGGACAACGUAGGGAAACUUACGCUAAUACCGCAUACGAUCUACGGGUGAAAGCAGGGGAUCUUCGGACCUUGGCCGAUAGAAUGAGCCGAUGUCGGAUUAGCUAGUUGGCGGGGUAAAGGCCCACCAAGGCGACGAUCCGUAGCUGGUCUGAGAGGAUGAUCAGCCACACUGGAACUGAGACACGGUCCAGACUCCUACGGGAGGCAGCAGUGGGGAAUAUUGGACAAUGGGCGCAAGCCUGAUCCAGCCAUGCCGCGUGGGUGAAGAAGGCCUUCGGGUUGUAAAGCCCUUUUGUUGGGAAAGAAAAGCAGCAGGUUAAUACCCCGCUGUUCUGACGGUACCCAAAGAAUAAGCACCGGCUAACUUCGUG
rnacentral:rRNA from 1 species